AAUAUUAUAUUCCUAAUUUAUACCAAAACCCAACUCGCAAGGCAUAUCUUACUAACAAUCUUUUAAAUAAAAUCUUUAAUAUCUCUCUUUAUUCUCACCAAAUCUUUUCCUUUUGCUAUAUAUACUACCUAAUCAACCCAUUCAACCUAACACCUUGCGAAAAGAUUAGGCAUAGAAAAUGAAGCCUACACUGAAGUUAUCAUACAUGUCCGGCGUACCAAACUGAAACGUGGAUCCAAGUCAAAGUUUUUUCGCACCUGGAAACAAUAAAGUGAACAGUUCUGUCCGACAAUGGAAAUCAUUCUCUGACAAGAAGAUACACUAAAUACAACAAAAUAUCCAGUUUCAUAGAGGAGCAGACUUAACACAGAUUUGAAAGCAACUGAGCAAAUAAUACAGAGCAAAACAAUGUUACAAUCUGGUGUGAAGCAAAGCAGUCAUCUUUUAAGAAAAGAUGGUGCUAAGUCUACUCCUAAACUAAGGCAGACAGCAGUAACUAUAACUAAUAACUCCAACGUUACGAAUCCAUCCCAGGUUGGGUAUGUUUCAGAUAAUAACAUCUUCCUUGAAGUUCUAUCUGAAGGACAAGAUGAUCACUUUUAUGACUUAAGCAGUCAAGAAAGUGAUACAAUAUCAAAUGUUUCCUAUCAUGCUCA